UUGACCUCGGAUCAGGUAGGGAUACCCGCUGAACUUAAGCAUAUCAAUAAGCGGAGGAAAAGAAACCAACCGGGAUUGCCCCAGUAACGGCGAGUGAAGCGGCAAGAGCUCAAAUUUGAAAUCUGGCCCCUCCGGGGUCCGAGUUGUAAUUUGCAGAGGAUGCUUCGGGUACGGCCCCUGUCUAAGUGCCCUGGAACGGGCCGUCAGAGAGGGUGAGAAUCCCGUCUUGGGCAGGGUGCCCGUGCCCAUGUGAAGCUCCUUCGACGAGUCGAGUUGUUUGGGAAUGCAGCUCUAAAUGGGUGGUAAAUUUCAUCUAAAGCUAAAUACCGGCCGGAGACCGAUAGCGCACAAGUAGAGUGAUCGAAAGAUGAAAAGCACUUUGAAAAGAGAGUUAAACAGCACGUGAAAUUGUUGAAAGGGAAGCGCUUGCGACCAGACUCGGCCCCGGGGUUCAGCCAGCACUCGUGCUGGUGUACUUCCCCGGGGGCGGGCCAGCGUCGGUUUGGGCGGCCGGUCAAAGGCCCCAGGAAUGUAUCGCCCUCCGGGGCGUCUUAUAGCCUGGGGUGCAAUGCGGCCAGCCCGGACCGAGGAACGCGCUUCGGCACGGACGCUGGCGUAAUGGUCGCAAACGACC
rnacentral:rRNA from 2 species